GAUGAACGCUGGCGGCGUGCCUAAUACAUGCAAGUCGAGCGAACGGACGAGAAGCUUGCUUCUCUGAUGUUAGCGGCGGACGGGGGAGUAACACGUGGAUAACCUACCUAUAAGACUGGGAUAACUUCGGGAAACCGGAACUAAUACCGGAUGAUAUUUUGAACCGCAUGGUUCAAAAGUGAAAGACGGUCUUGCUGUCACUUAUAGAUGGAUCCGCGCUGCAUUAGCUAGUUGGUAAGGUAACGGCUUACCAAGGCAACGAUGCAUAGCCGACCUGAGAGGGUGAUCGGCCACACUGGAACUGAGACACGGUCCAGACUCCUACGGGAGGCAGCAGUAGGGAAUCUUCCGCAAUGGGCGAAAGCCUGACGGAGCAACGCCGCGUGAGUGAUGAAGGUCUUCGGAUCGUAAAACUCUGUUAUUAGGGAAGAACAUAUGUGUAAGUAACUGUGCACAUCUUGACGGUACCUAAUCAGAAAGCCACGGCUAACUACGUG
rnacentral:rRNA from 1 species